rnacentral:misc_RNA from 1 species
GAGCGGCCUCACUGGUGAUCAAUGUAGUGAACAAAAGACGUGUUAUAAGGACGUCUUGCUGGUGACUCACACUUCAAAACGUUAUAUAUGAGUUUGGGGCAGCUAGGUCAUAAAUGAAAAUAUAGUAGAAUUCAUCAAUCAAUUCCAUGUGCUUCUGCUUCUACUAUAAAAAAUAACAAUGAGUGCAUUUGCCAGCAAGAGUGGCCGGGUGGUACCUCCUCAGUCACCCAGCCAAUCUGGUGUACCUCCAGGAGGCAAUACAGACUUAGCUAGUCUAUUUGAAUGCCCAGUGUGUUUUGAUUAUGUAUUACCUCCGAUAUUACAAUGCCAGAGCGGUCACCUCGUCUGUGCCAACUGCCGCCCAAAAUUGACAUGCUGCCCAACCUGUAGAGGACCAUUAGGCAACAUCAGAAAUCUUGCCAUGGAGAAAGUGGCAUCCACAGUCAUGUUCCCUUGUAAGUAUUCCUCCUCUGGCUGCUCGGCAACCCUCCUACACACAGACAAAACAGAACAUGAGGAUACAUGUGAGUUCCGUCCAUACAUGUGUCCGUGUCCUGGAGCAUCCUGUAAAUGGCAAGGGUCCUUGGAGCAAGUUAUGCCACACCUCAUGAGCGUCCACAAAAGUAUCACAACUCUACAAGGUGAGGAUAUAGUUUUCCUAGCAACAGAUAUCAAUUUACCUGGAGCUGUAGAUUGGGUCAUGAUGCAGAGCUGUUUUGGUCAUCACUUCAUGUUAGUUUUGGAGAAGCAAGAAAAAUAUGAUGGACAUCAACAAUUCUUUGCAAUAGUUCAACUAAUAGGAUCAAGAAAACAAGCAGAGAACUUUGCUUACAGAUUGGAGUUAAAUGGUCUCCGACGAAGACUAACUUGGGAAGCCACACCACGAUCAAUACAUGAAGGUGUGCAGUCAGCCAUUAUGAAUUCCGAUUGUCUUGUCUUUGACACAUCUAUUGCCCAGUUGUUUGCUGAUAAUGGUAACCUUGGAAUCAAUGUCACAAUAUCCAUGUGUUGAAGGACAUCAACUGGUCUGGAGAAGGUUUUCACCAGCCAAAACUGAAUGUGCUCAAAGCCUUUAUGUGGUGGCCAAGAUGCCAAGCAUACUGAUGGGGAACACCAUACGUCAAGAAUGACAGGAUUGGCCCAAGUACAACAGCAUAUUUACAACUGUGUAUAGCUGAUAUUCUACUCAUCAUUUGGACAAUUAUGCACAAAUUGGGAGACCUUCAACACUUUACACAGCAAGUAUAUGCACAUCCAUAUCAUAUAGAUUGUGCUUGAUUUAUUCUUCUGCUUUUUCUGUCUUUCCUUUAUUCUCUUCUCUGCCUUCUCAAUGCAGUCAAUGGAUACUUCACUUUUUCUUGCCGUGAGGAUGAAAGAACAGUAUAUUUGAAAAAAAAUAAAAAUCUAUCUAAAAAUAUAUAUAUAUAUUCAACAAGGAACUCAUUUGCUUAUGAAUUUAUGGAUCGAUGUUUGGAACUAUUGAUGAAAAGACACUUGUAUUAUUGAAGUAUGUAUUUUGUAGAAAAUUUAUUUAUUUUGCUUUAUCUUUUAUUCUUAUAUACAUUUUUUUUUUGCCUCAUUUUGUUCCAAUUUUAGUAUACCUAUUACCAUAAUGAUACUGAAGGAUAUAAUUAAUCUAGUAUAUGUCAGAUUGUAACUUAAUGAGUUAAUAGAUUGAGUUGUCUUUAUAGAAAUUAUAUGCUCAAAGAUGAACA